ensembl:lncRNA
GGAAAACUCAAUAGGAAAGCUGAGCUCUAUUCUUUUUUUUUUUAAUUUUUAAACAUUAUUUUAUUUGGUCGUUUUCAUACAUUAUUCACUGGAAACAAAGAUCAUUUUCUUUUCCUCCCCUCCCCCCCCUUUCCCUCUCCCAUAGCCAAUGCAUGAUUCCACUGGUUAUCACUGGUUAUGUUCUUUAUUCGAACCCAUUUCCCUGUUGUUGGAAUUUGCAUUAUAGUAUUCAUUUAGAGUCUCUCCUCAGUCUUAUCUCCUCCAACCCUGUAGUCAAGCAGUUGCUUUUCAUCGGUGUUUUUACUCCCACAGUUUAUCCUCUGCUUGUGGGUAGUAUUUUUUAGAUUCCGGCAGAUUGUUCAGGGACAUUGCAUUGACACUAAUGGAGAAGUCCACCACCUUCGAUUGUACCACAAUGUAUCAGUCUCUGUGUACAAUGUUUUCCUGGUUCUGCUCCUCUCACUCUGCAUCACUUCCUGGAGGUUGUUCCAGUCUCCAUGGAACUCCUCCACUUUAUUAUUCCUUUGAGCACAAUAGUAUUCCAUCACCAACAUAUACCACAAUUCAGCCAUUCCCCGAUUGAAGGGCAUCCCCUCAUUUUCCAAUUUUUGGCCACCACAAAGAGAGCAGCUAUGAAUAUUCUUGUACAAGUCUUUUUCCUUAUUAUCUCUUUGGGGUACAAACCCAGCAGUGCUAUGGCUGGAUCAAAGGGCAGACAGUCUUUUAUCUCCCUUUGGGCAUAGUUCCAAAUUGCCCUCCAGAAUGGUUGAACCAAUUCACAACUCCACCAGCAAUGCAUUAAUGUCCCUACUUCGCCACAUCCCCUCCAGCAUUCAUUACUUUCCUUUGCUAUCAUGUUAGCCAAUCUGCUAAGUGUGAGGUGAUACAUCAGAGUUGUUUUGAUUUGCAUCUCUCCAAUUAUUGCCUAUUCAUGUCCCUUGCCCAUUUAUCAAUUGAGGAAUGGCUUUAUUUUUUGGACAAUUGAUUUAGCUCUUUAUAAAUUUGAGUAAUUAAGCCUUUGUCAGAGGUUUUUCUUAUGAAGAUUUUUUCCCAAUUUAUUGCUUCCUUUCUAAUUUUGGUUACAUUGGUUUUGUUUGUACAAAAACUUUUUAAUUUAAUGUAAUCAAAAUUAUUUAUUUUACAUUUUGUGAUUUUUUUCUCUAACUCUGAUUUGGGCUUAAAAUCUUUCCUUAUCCAAAGAUCUGACAUGUAUACUAUUCUGUGUUCACCUAAUUUACUUAUAGUUUCCUUCUUUAUAUUCAAGUCAUUCACCCAUUCUGAGUUUAUCUUGGUGUAGGGUAUGAGAUGUUGAUCCAAAUCUAAUCUCUCCCACACUGUCUUCCAAUUUUCCCAGCAGUGGGAAAUAGUGGAUUUUUGUCCCAAAAGCUGGCAUCUUUGGGCUUAUCAUAGACUUGUCUUGCUGAGGUCACUUACUCCAAGUCUAUUCCACUGAUCCACCUUUCUGUCUCUUAGCCAGUAUCAUAUUGUUUUGAUGACCGCUGCUUUAUAGUAUAGACUGAGAUCUGGUACUGCAAGGCCACCUUCCGUCACUUUUUUUCCCCCUGGAUAUCCUUGAUCUUUUGUUCUUCCAAAUGAACUUUGUGAUGUUUUUUUUCUAAAUCAGUAAAAAAGUUUUUUGGUAGUUCGAUGGGUAUGGCACUAAAUAAGUAAAUUAAUUUGGGUAGGAUGGUCAUUUUUAUUAUGUUAGCUCGUCCUACCUAUGAACAAUCAAUGUUUUUCCAA